rnacentral:pre_miRNA from 1 species
CAGAAAUAGGGGCUCCUUUGAGGACAAAGAAAGCAUUCCGGAUCAUCUUUUUGCUCAUUGAACCAGUCAUUCUUUGGUCUGAAAGGAGCUCCAAAUUCUU